CUGACCAGCUUCUGGCUGGUGAUGGCCUCCGUCUCACUCGAGCUGGAAAUCUGGAAACAAAUCAAAGAUAAACGGACUUGAACUGAGAUUAUUUGUCAAACUGCUUUUGGGGGAAUUUAACUGAAUAACUUUAUAUUCUGUACAAUAAAUGAUUCGACCACAGACAACGUUUCUAAACAACCAGACUGCAGGCUUUUUAUCGUGUACCAAGGCUAACGAGCUAAAUCAGCUAACAAGGCUGGUCCAGUGUUUACCCAGUAAACCUUCCUCCACCCUGCUGCUAAGCACCUCCGACACACACACACAGUAACACCAGCAGCCUCCACCCUCUACAACCACUGACCUGGAGUCAGCUGAGGUGUAUAAACAGGUAGAGGUCUGUCUGCAGGGAGGUGAUGAUCUCAGUGUUCAGUGCAGUCGUCUCUGAUCUGAGACUCCAGUCAGAGACCCGGUGUGGGGACGUCGUCCUUCAUAAGGCUUUCUCCAGCAGAGCGCUCCAGAACUCUCCUCCCUCCGCUGAGUGAACAAACAGCAGCUUUCCAUCUCUGGUGGGCAGCCGGUCGUCCACGACAACGUCCACCCACUCGCCGUACUGCCACAGCUACACAACACAACACAGGAUGUAUAUAUGUAUAUUUAUAUAUUUUCUAUUAUUUCUAAUAUAUACAUUAGUUUAUUGUUUGUAAGCAUGAAGUUGAACUCAGUUUAAACAUAUAAACAGAUCAAUGUUUCAUCCUGCUGCACACAUCUGGACAUAAACAAUCAGCAUUUAAUUACAACUCUGAACUUUAUUAAUAAUAUAAAACUCAUCCAGCAGGAGUCAAAC